rnacentral:rRNA from 1 species
GCAUAAGGGAGCUUGACUGCGAGACCUACAAGUCGAGCAGGGUCGAAAGACGGACUUAGUGAUCCGGUGGUUCCGCAUGGAAGGGCCAUCGCUCAACGGAUAAAAGCUACCCCGGGGAUAACAGGCUUAUCUCCCCCAAGAGUUCACAUCGACGGGGAGGUUUGGCACCUCGAUGUCGGCUCAUCGCAUCCUGGGGCUGUAGUCGGUCCCAAGGGUUGGGCUGUUCGCCCAUUAAAGCGGUACGCGAGCUGGGUUCAGAACGUCGUGAGACAGUUCGGUCCCUAUCCGUCGUGGGCGUAGGAAAUUUGAGAGGAGCUGUCCUUAGUACGAGAGGACCGGGAUGGACAUACCUCUGGUGUACCAGUUGUCGUGCCAACGGCAUAGCUGGGUAGCUAUGUGUGGACGGGAUAAGUGCUGAAAGCAUCUAAGCAUGAAGCCCCCCUCAAGAUGAGAUUUCCCAACUUCGGUUAUAAGAUCCCUCAAAGAUGAUGAGGUUAAUAGGUUCGAGGUGGAAGCAUGGUGACAUGUGGAGCUGACGAAUACUAAUCGAUCGAAGACUUAAUCAA